CCUACGGGAGGCUGCAGUGGGGAAUAUUGGACAAUGGGCGAAAGCCUGAUCCAGCCAUGCCGCGUGUGUGAAGAAGGCCUUCGGGUUGUAAAGCACUUUCAGUGGGGAAGAAAGCCUUGGGGCUAAUACCCUCGAGGAAGGACAUCACCCACAGAAGAAGCACCGGCUAACUCCGUGCCAGCAGCCGCGGUAAUACGGAGGGUGCGAGCGUUAAUCGGAAUUACUGGGCGUAAAGCGCGCGUAGGCGGUCUGAUAAGCCGGUUGUGAAAGCCCCGGGCUCAACCUGGGAACGGCAUCCGGAACUGUCAGGCUAGAGUGCAGGAGAGGAAGGUAGAAUUCCCGGUGUAGCGGUGAAAUGCGUAGAGAUCGGGAGGAAUACCAGUGGCGAAGGCGGCCUUCUGGACUGACACUGACGCUGAGGUGCGAAAGCGUGGGUAGCAAACAGGAUUAGAUACCCUUGUAGAC
rnacentral:rRNA from 1 species